AAAAUUGUUGUUGUGGAAUGAUAGAUUACUAAUUGUGUAGGAAGUGGAGAAAAUUGUACCACCUAUAUAUAUAUACCACAAGCUCAGAAACAACUAUGGAAAAAUCCCUAGGGAAUUAUUCACAGAAGAGAACAUGCUAUUACUAAGAGAAGGGGAAAAGCGGAUGAAAGACACUGCAAAUUAUGAUUGUUCCAACUUUGAUUGCCACGAUGGUGUUUGUUGUUGUCUUCACUGUGCCAGGUGGUAAUAACGGUGAUGAUGGUAUUCCAAUAUUGCUAAAAUUGAAUGGAUUUACGGCUUUUGACAUGCCCAAGCAAGCUCAUUGCUUCUUGUAUUGGUGUUCCUGCAUCUGAAAUAACAAAAGGCAGUAAAUCUGUCUAACUUUAGCAAUAUUAGAAUACCAUUAUCACCGUUAUUACCAUCUCACACAGUGAAGCCAGCAACAAACAUCAUCGUGGCAAUCAAAGUUGCA
rnacentral:misc_RNA from 1 species